AAGGCUGAGCAUGGCUCAGCCUCACAAAGAGGCCUCCCAGUGAGCCAGGCCAAGGAGACGGAUCACCCCACCAGUGCUGGCCUUACGAGUGCCGAAGCCCUGAAGGAUGGCUUUGGAAAGAUCCGAGCUGCACUGAGAAUGUUGGCUCAAAGGAACUUAGAGCGGAUGCCAAUGGAGCUUUUGGAGAAAGAGAUCAAGACAGAGAGAGAAAAGGAAACGUCCUUGCAGCUGCCUCCACAGACAGUUGACCCCGGGGAUGCAGCUGCAGCAAGCUUUAGCCUACCGCCUGUCAAUGGCACAGCUUCCAGUGUGCCGAGGAAACACCCUGGUAGUGCCUUGAAGAAGAAGGUCUUG